GACGAACCGUGCGAACGUUGUUCGGCUUCAUUGGGAUUAAAGGGCGCGUAGGCGGCCUAACAAGUCGGGGGUUAAAUCCUUCAGCUCAACUGGAGAACGGCCUUCAAUACUGCAUGCCUCGAGGGAGGUAGAGGCAGGUGGAACUUCCGGUGGAGCGGUGAAAUGCGUAGAUAUCGGAAGGAACGCCGGUGGCGAAAGCGACCUGCUGGAUCUCUUCUGACGCUGAGGCGCGAAAGCCAGGGGAGCAAACGGG
rnacentral:rRNA from 1 species